rnacentral:lncRNA from 1 species
CAAACGUUAAGCAAUUUAUCUAUUUAUUAAACUGCUCCUUACCUAGGAAAUGGCAUAAAUGCAUCUCCAAAUAGUUCAGCAAUGCCGAAAACCUGAACACAAACCAGAAUAAUGCAUGCGCGCAGAUAGCACACAACACAACGGUAAGCAGAAUCCUGAUCCAAACUAACAACCAUCAAGUUCCCUUUUUUCCCAGUCUUUCAUAAGGUCCACACCUAGCUUUCAGAAGGUCCACACCUAGCUUACAUAAGGUCCACAACAGAAAUGGCCAAAAUACGCCCAAGCACUAGAAGUACGGUAAAACAUCUAGAAAUACAGAGAGCCUAACUGAUCGUUUGCUCUCCCCUGCAGAUAACACUUUCAAAGUGAGAUUCAUAACCAGAUCACAGUAGCAACCAGAUGACUACUUGACUUGAUUGGAAGUAAUUUAAUGUUAGCUUCCAAGUCAGUCGGUCAGCAG